GGUGAUCUGCCCACCUCGGCCUCCCAAAGUGCUGGGAUUACAGGCGUGGGCCACCAUGCCUGGCCCAGAACCUGCUCUUGAUGGCUCAGCUGGUGGCACCCAGAUCAAUAAACUGGUUCAUCUGAUCUUGUGGCCCCCACCCCAGGAACUGACUCAGUGCAAGAAGACAGCUUUGACUCCCUAUGAUUUCAUCUCUGAUCUGACCAGUCAGCACUCCUGGCUCACUGGCUUCCCCCAACCCACCAGGUUGUCCUUAAAAACUGAUCCCUGAACGCUCAGGGAGACUAAUUUGAGUAAUAAUAAAACUCCCAUCUUCCACACAGCCGAAUUACUUUAUCUCAAUUCCUGUCUUGAUAAAUCAGCUCUGUCUAGGCAAUGGGCAAGAUGAACCCAUUGGGCAGUUACAUUACAGGGACAUGCUGGAAACAGUACCUAGUGUGGUGUAAGUACUUCAUAAGUACUGGCUAUAAUCAGCUGUCACUGCCCUCCUUCCCCCUCGCCAUUGCCCCUCUCAAGUUUUGGCUAGUCUAACACGCAUGCUCUCCCUUCCUUACUGGAUGUGCCUGCACCCUAGCUCAGUCUGGCUAAAUUCUCCUCAUUGUUUAGGUCUCAGCUCAGUCAUAACCUCCUCCAGGAAGCCUCUUGGAUUCUCCAAGCCACAUAGCACUGUUACACACAAGGUGUUGCCUCUUUAUUUGUCUCUCCCUCCUUUUCUGCACCCCUUCCCCAGGGCUGCAGGCUCUGUGAGGGCAGGAACCUGGUCUUUGCUUCUCUCCCAUGCAGCCCCAGCUCUUUUCACAGAGUGGAUAUUCAACAAAGGUUCAGAUAAUACUGCUAAACAAGUGAACCCCAGUAUCCCAGUGUGUUCAGGAACCUUCCCUGCCUCCUUUCUCAUUAUGUGCAGGUUUCUCUGGCACUCAGAUCUCUGAGAAGUCACGUGCACCCCUCACCGCCCUCGGCACUCACCCAGUAUGUGGGUUAAGAGGCCAAAGGAAGUAUCGCUCAAUAUUGCAAACAAACAGGAAAUUUAGAACUUCUUCAGGAAGAAAGGACCUACACAAAAGGGCUCUGAUGUUUCAAACCACUUCUUCCCUGAUAAGCCUGGAAGUAAAGCCACUGAAGACAAAAUAAUGCAUUCUAUGAGGGACUAAGCUCUUCAACAAAAAUUCCAGAAGCAAAUCUGUAUAUGCUCACACUUGUGUGGCCACGUUCACAAAGAGAGGCAUGAUAU